rnacentral:rRNA from 2 species
UGCAGUCGAGCGGUAGCACAGGGAGCUUGCUCCUGGGUGACGAGCGGCGGACGGGUGAGUAAUGUCUGGGAAACUGCCUGAUGGAGGGGGAUAACUACUGGAAACGGUAGCUAAUACCGCAUAACGUCGCAAGACCAAAGAGGGGGACCUUCGGGCCUCUUGCCAUCAGAUGUGCCCAGAUGGGAUUAGCUAGUAGGUGGGGUAACGGCUCACCUAGGCGACGAUCCCUAGCUGGUCUGAGAGGAUGACCAGCCACACUGGAACUGAGACACGGUCCAGACUCCUACGGGAGGCAGCAGUGGGGAAUAUUGCACAAUGGGCGCAAGCCUGAUGCAGCCAUGCCGCGUGUAUGAAGAAGGCCUUCGGGUUGUAAAGUACUUUCAGCGGGGAGGAAGGUGUUGAGGUUAAUAACCUCAGCAAUUGACGUUACCCGCAGAAGAAGCACCGGCUAACUCCGUGCCAGCAGCCGCGGUAAUACGGAGGGUGCAAGCGUUAAUCGGAAUUACUGGGCGUAAAGCGCACGCAGGCGGUCUGUCAAGUCGGAUGUGAAAUCCCCGGGCUCAACCUGGGAACUGCAUUCGAAACUGGCAGGCUAGAGUCUUGUAGAGGGGGGUAGAAUUC